rnacentral:rRNA from 2 species
AAAACUUUCAACAACGGAUCUCUUGGUUCUGGCAUCGAUGAAGAACGCAGCGAAAUGCGAUAAGUAAUGUGAAUUGCAGAAUUCAGUGAACCAUCGAAUCUUUGAACGCACAUUGCGCCC